GCAAACCCUUGUUUCCUUGGUCUCCGUCGAUUUUGCCAUGUUGUAUUUCCAUUGAAUGUCACUUGUGUGGUGUGGUUGCGCCGUGUUUCCGCUGAACUUCAUCUUCGUUGGAAAACGAUAUCUCUCACAUCUCUUCUCCCAUCUCUGACUCCCAAAACCCCAUCUUCUAACAAACUUCCUUUUCUUUCCAGAUCCUCUGCUUCCCAGUUUCAUGGAGCUCAAAGUUCUCAUCACAUUCUCCUGUCAUCUCUUCCUUCAUCUUCUUCUUCCUUCAAAUUUACCAUCUCCUCUAAGGUGAAUGAGGGCUAAACCCCUCCUCCUUUCACUUUGAAAGAUCAGGAUGGAAGGAAUGUGAGUUUUUCUAAAUUUAAAGGGAGGCAUGUGGUUGUCUAUUUCUAUCAUGUUGAAACUUCUGGUUGCACAAGACAGACACAGGUAUUGUUUGUUUUUUGGUGUGGAUUCUUGAAGAUAAGAAUCGAGCAACUUCAAGUAUAGCAGCUAAUGUUGCUAUAAAGUUGGUCAGUGCUAUACCAAAUGCACUAUUAAAAACCUUUUAUUUUGGAUCUUUCUCAUGCUCUUUCAUGUUUGCUAACUUCUCAUCAAAUACAAAUAUCUGUAGCAUGUACUAUAACACUGAAUUUGAUUAUUUCAAAUGUACCAAGUAAAAGCGAGGAAGCAUUUUGGGAGAUCCUUAACAAGUCAGAAGUUGUUCUUCAUUUGAUUGGCAUUAUUAGAUACUUUUCUGGAGCUAUGAACCUAAUUGAAGAAAAGGAAGGGACCUUCAUCAUCUGGAGCUGCUAACAAUACUGGAACAGGGAAUACCAUUGGACCUAACUCCCAACCAUCAACUCCAUUAACUCACAGCCUGCUGAUGGAGCUGUUAUUGCCCCCAAUAUGUAGAAUGUUAAUAGCAUGCCAAAGAAUAUGUUGUUGUAUGUUGUUCUUUACGAAUGAUGGAACAGAGGGUCUUGCAUCGUCCACAAACCAGCUGGAAGACAUAGAACAUCUUGGAGAUAUUGCCUCCUUGGAUGACAAUGUGGAAUCUUUUCUCUCACAUGAUGAUGGAGAUAGAAGGGAUUUGUUUAGCACAUUAAAGCAGAUCCCUUUUGAGCAUGUUGCAGAAAAUUCAAAGGGAUUGAUAAUGGCAAGGAGUAUUAUCCUUACUCCAACAAGAAAAGAUCCCACAUUGAGUGCAUUAAGGAACUUUGCAGCAAUUAGAAGAAAAGAACUUGGGAAGAGAUAUCCUUGAUAUAAACAAACUUGUUGGUCCUUUUGGCACUAAGAUUGAUACAUGAAAAUCAUACUCACAAGUCGAGUUAAACGAGGUGCGGGUUGAGUUAGUUGAUUUUUUGGGUUUGUACAUAUGAUUACGACUUAUUUAUGAUUGUGAAGUAGGAAAUUUUUUGUUGUGGUUGUCAUUCUAAAACUUUAUGUAUAUAGAUAAUAUAGGUGAAUUUUUUGAAUUGUUCAUAUGGAGGGAUGUUGAUUAGAUUUAUUAUAGAUAGAUAUACUUUUGGGCUAAGUUAGUUAAUUAGAGGAUGUUGAGUUGAAUUCUUGGCAGUCUGAUGGAAGUAUUUAUAUUGGUCUUAUAAAUGAUCUGCAAUAUUCAUAUAUGUAAAGUUUUAGAAAUGAUAUGGUGCAAGGUUUUAUAUAUUUA